rnacentral:rRNA from 1 species
CCUACGGGUGGCAGCAGUGGGGAAUAUUGGGCAAUGGGCGAAAGCCUGACCCAGCAAUGCCGCGUGAAUGAAGAAGGUCUUAGGAUUGUAAAAUUCUGUCCUAUGGGAAGAAAAAAAUGACGGUACCAUAGGAGGAAGCCCCGGCUAACUACGUGCCAGCAGCCGCGGUAAUACGUAGGGGGCGAGCGUUGUCCGGAAUUACUGGGCGUAAAGAGAGCGUAGGCGGCACUACAAGUCUCAUGUGAAAUACCCGGGCUUAACUUGGGGGUUGCAUGGGAAACUGUAGAGCUUGAGUACAGGAGAGGCAAGCGGAAUUCCUAGUGUAGCGGUGAAAUGCAUAGAUAUCACGAAGAACUCCGAUUGCGAAGGCAGUUCACUGGACUGCAACUGACACUGAGGCUCGAAAGUGUGGGUAUCAAACAGGAUUAGAUACCCCUGUAGUC